rnacentral:rRNA from 1 species
AGUGGGUGUAGCGUACCUACUAGCCUACGACGGGUACGGGUUGUGAGAGCAAGAGCCCGGAGAUGGAUUCUGAGACACGAAUCCUGGCCCUACGGGGUGCAGCAGGCGCGAAAACUUUACAAUGCUGGCAACAGCGAUAAGGGAACCUCGAGUGCCAGGUUACAAAUCUGGCUGUCGAGAUGCCUAAAAAGCAUUUCAUAGCAAGGGCCGGGCAAGACCGGUGCCAGCCGCCGCGGUAACACCGGCGGCUCGAGUGGUAACCGUUAUUAUUGGGUCUAAAGGGUCUGUAGCCGGCCGGAUAAGUCUCUUGAGAAAUCUGGCAGCUUAACUGUCAGGCUUUCAGGAGAUACUGUCUGGCUCGAGGCCGGGAGAGGUGAGAGGUACUUCAGGGGUAGGGGUGAAAUCUUGUAAUCCUUGAAGGACCACCAGUGGCGAAGGCGUCUCACCAGAACGGACCUGACGGCAAGGGACGAAAGCUAGGGGCACGAACCGGAUUAGAU